rnacentral:rRNA from 1 species
AAUGGGCGAAAGCCUGACGGAGCAACGCCGCGUGAGGGAUGAAGGCCUCUGGGCUGUAAACCUCUUUUCUCAAGGAAGAAGAUCUGACGGUACUUGAGGAAUAAGCCACGGNCUAAUUCCGUGCCAGCAGCCGCGGUAAUACGGGAGUGGCAAGCGUUAUCCGGAAUUAUUGGGCGUAAAGCGUCCGCAGGCGGUCCAGAAAGUCUGCUGUUAAAAAGUGGAGCUUAACUCCAUCAUGGCAGUGGAAACUUCUGGACUAGAGUGUGGUAGGGGCAGAGGGAAUUCCCGGUGUAGCGGUGAAAUGCGUAGAUAUCGGGAAGAACACCAGUGGCGAAGGCGCUCUGCUGGGCCAUAACUGACGCUCAUGGACGAAAGCCAGGGGAGCGAAAGGGAUUAGAUACCCCUGNUAGUC